rnacentral:rRNA from 1 species
GGUUAAGCGACUAAGCGUACACGGUGGAUGCCCUGGCAGUCAGAGGCGAUGAAGGACGUGCUAAUCUGCGAUAAGCGUCGGUGAGGUGAUAUGAACCGUUAUAACCGGCGAUUUCCGAAUGGGGAAACCCAGUGUGUUUCGACACACUAUCAUUAACUGAAUCCAUAGGUUAAUGAGGCGAACCGGGGGAACUGAAACAUCUAAGUACCCCGAGGAAAAGAAAUCAACCGAGAUUCCCCCAGUAGCGGCGAGCGAACGGGGAGGAGCCCAGAGCCUGAAUCAGUGUGUGUGUUAGUGGAAGCGUCUGGAAAGGCGUGCGAUACAGGGUGACAGCCCCGUACACAAAAAUGCACAUAUUGUGAGCUCGAUGAGUAGGGCGGGACACGUGGUAUCCUGUCUGAAUAUGGGGGGACCAUCCUCCAAGGCUAAAUACUCCUGACUGACCGAUAGUGAACCAGUACCGUGAGGGAAAGGCGAAAAGAACCCCGGCGAGGGGAGUGAAAAAGAACCUGAAACCGUGUACGUACAAGCAGUGGGAGCCUCUUAAUGGGGUGACUGCGUACCUUUUGUAUAAUGGGUCAGCGACUUAUAUUCUGUAGCAAGGUUAACCGAAUAGGGGAGCCGAAGGGAAACCGAGUCUUAACUGGGCGUUAAGUUGCAGGGUAUAGACCCGAAACCCGGUGAUCUAGCCAUGGGCAGGUUGAAGGUUGGGUAACACUAACUGGAGGACCGAACCGACUAAUGUUGAAAAAUUAGCGGAUGACUUGUGGCUGGGGGUGAAAGGCCAAUCAAACCGGGAGAUAGCUGGUUCUCCCCGAAAGCUAUUUAGGUAGCGCCUCGUGAAUUCAUCUCCGGGGGUAGAGCACUGUUUCGGCAAGGGGGUCAUCCCGACUUACCAACCCGAUGCAAACUGCGAAUACCGGAGAAUGUUAUCACGGGAGACACACGGCGGGUGCUAACGUCCGUCGUGAAGAGGGAAACAACCCAGACCGCCAGCUAAGGUCCCAAAGUCAUGGUUAAGUGGGAAACGAUGUGGGAAGGCCCAGACAGCCAGGAUGUUGGCUUAGAAGCAGCCAUCAUUUAAAGAAAGCGUAAUAGCUCACUGGUCGAGUCGGCCUGCGCGGAAGAUGUAACGGGGCUAAACCAUGCACCGAAGCUGCGGCAGCGACACUAUGUGUUGUUGGGUAGGGGAGCGUUCUGUAAGCCUGUGAAGGUGGCCUGUGAGGGUUGCUGGAGGUAUCAGAAGUGCGAAUGCUGACAUAAGUAACGAUAAAGCGGGUGAAAAGCCCGCUCGCCGGAAGACCAAGGGUUCCUGUCCAACGUUAAUCGGGGCAGGGUGAGUCGACCCCUAAGGCGAGGCCGAAAGGCGUAGUCGAUGGGAAACAGGUUAAUAUUCCUGUACUUGGUGUUACUGCGAAGGGGGGACGGAGAAGGCUAUGUUGGCCGGGCGACGGUUGUCCCGGUUUAAGCGUGUAGGCUGGUUUUCCAGGCAAAUCCGGAAAACCAAGGCUGAGGCGUGAUGACGAGGCACUACGGUGCUGAAGUGACAAAUGCCCUGCUUCCAGGAAAAGCCUCUAAGCAUCAGGUAACAUCAAAUCGUACCCCAAACCGACACAGGUGGUCAGGUAGAGAAUACCAAGGCGCUUGAGAGAACUCGGGUGAAGGAACUAGGCAAAAUGGUGCCGUAACUUCGGGAGAAGGCACGCUGAUAUGUAGGUGAAGCGACUUGCUCGUGGAGCUGAAAUCAGUCGAAGAUACCAGCUGGCUGCAACUGUUUAUUAAAAACACAGCACUGUGCAAACACGAAAGUGGACGUAUACGGUGUGACGCCUGCCCGGUGCCGGAAGGUUAAUUGAUGGGGUUAGCGGUAACGCGAAGCUCUUGAUCGAAGCCCCGGUAAACGGCGGCCGUAACUAUAACGGUCCUAAGGUAGCGAAAUUCCUUGUCGGGUAAGUUCCGACCUGCACGAAUGGCGUAAUGAUGGCCAGGCUGUCUCCACCCGAGACUCAGUGAAAUUGAACUCGCUGUGAAGAUGCAGUGUACCCGCGGCAAGACGGAAAGACCCCGUGAACCUUUACUAUAGCUUGACACUGAACAUUGAGCCUUGAUGUGUAGGAUAGGUGGGAGGCUUUGAAGUGUGGACGCCAGUCUGCAUGGAGCCGACCUUGAAAUACCACCCUUUAAUGUUUGAUGUUCUAACGUUGGCCCGUAAUCCGGGUUGCGGACAGUGUCUGGUGGGUAGUUUGACUGGGGCGGUCUCCUCCUAAAGAGUAACGGAGGAGCACGAAGGUUGGCUAAUCCUGGUCGGACAUCAGGAGGUUAGUGCAAUGGCAUAAGCCAGCUUGACUGCGAGCGUGACGGCGCGAGCAGGUGCGAAAGCAGGUCAUAGUGAUCCGGUGGUUCUGAAUGGAAGGGCCAUCGCUCAACGGAUAAAAGGUACUCCGGGGAUAACAGGCUGAUACCGCCCAAGAGUUCAUAUCGACGGCGGUGUUUGGCACCUCGAUGUCGGCUCAUCACAUCCUGGGGCUGAAGUAGGUCCCAAGGGUAUGGCUGUUCGCCAUUUAAAGUGGUACGCGAGCUGGGUUUAGAACGUCGUGAGACAGUUCGGUCCCUAUCUGCCGUGGGCGCUGGAGAACUGAGGGGGGCUGCUCCUAGUACGAGAGGACCGGAGUGGACGCAUCACUGGUGUUCGGGUUGUCAUGCCAAUGGCACUGCCCGGUAGCUAAAUGCGGAAGAGAUAAGUGCUGAAAGCAUCUAAGCACGAAACUUGCCCCGAGAUGAGUUCUCCCUG